ACCGCCCCCCCCUCCCCCCCCCCCGGGGCAGCGGCCGGGCCGCCCCCCGCCUCCUUCCCCGCACAAAGGAGACCCCGAGGGGGGAGUUUCACCCCCGGGGGGGGCUUCCCCAACCCACACCGAGAUACGGAGCAGCCCCGCAAACCGGUGUCCACCCCCUCCCCUUCCCAGCCCGGCGGUGCGGCAGCAUCCCUCCCCGAGGCAAGAAGUGGGGAUGUGCGAGCUGCUUUGCCCGGCGACGUGCAGGAAGUUUGCAGCGGUGCCAGAAAUAGAGCCUGCGCCUGCACCCGAACCGCAAAAAAAAAAAAAAAAAAAAAAAAAAAAAAAAAAAAAAAAAAA